GUGCUUACUUUGGCAGCACAUACACUAAAUUGGAACAAUAAAGAGAAGAUUAACAUGGUCCCUGCACAAGGAUGACAUGCAAACUUGUGAAGUGUUCCAUAUUUUU
rnacentral:snRNA from 1 species